AGGACGAACGCUGGCGGCGUGCUUAACACAUGCAAGUCGAGCGGAAAGGCCCUUCGGGGUACUCGAGCGGCGAACGGGUGAGUAACACGUGGGUAACCUGCCCCGAUGAUUGGGACAACCCGAGGAAACUCGGGCUAAUACCAAAUGUGCUCCUGGCCGUGAUGGCCUUGAGGAAAGGAAGCUUCGGCCUCCGCAUCGGGAUGGGCCCGCGGCCCAUUAGCUAGUUGGUGGGGUAAAGGCCUACCAAGGCGACGACGGGUA
rnacentral:rRNA from 1 species